UUGAUCCUGGCUCAGGACGAACGCUGGCGGCGUGCCUAAUACAUGCAAGUCGAGCGAGCCGAACUAAUUGAUUACCUUCGGGUAUGAAGUUAGGGAAGCGAGCGGCGGAUGGGUGAGUAACACGUGGGUAACCUACCCUAUAGUCUGGGAUACCACUUGGAAACAGGUGCUAAUACCGGAUAAAAGGAGAGAUCACGUGAUUUCUUUUUGAAAGGCGGCGUAAGCUGUCGCUAAAGGAUGGACCCGCGGUGCAUUAGCUAGUUGGUAAGGUAACGGCUUACCAAGGCAACGAUGCAUAGCCGAGUUGAGAGACUGAUCGGCCACAUUGGGAAACUGAGGAGAACACGCGCCAAACUCCUACGGGAGGGCAGCAGGUAGGAAUCUUCCACAUGGACGCAAGUCUGAUGGAGCAACGCCGCGGUGGAGGAGAGGUUUUCGGAUCGUAAAGCUCUGUUGUUGGUGAAGAAAGAUAGUGAGAGUAACUGCUCAUUAUUUGCCCGGUAAUCACCAGAAAGUCACGGCUAACUACGUGCCAGCAGCCGCGGUAAUACGUAGGUGGCAAGCGUUGUCCGGGAUUUAUUGGGCGUAAAGCGAGCGCAGGCGGAAAGAUAAGUCAGAUGUGAAAGCCCUCGGCUUAACCGAGGAAUAGCAUCGGAAACUGUCUUUCUUGAGUGCAGAAGAGGAGAGUGGAACUCCAUGUGUAGCGGUGGAAUGCGUAGAUAUAUGGAAGAACACCAGUGGCGAAGGCGGCUCUCUGGUCUGUAACUGACGCUGAGGCUCGAAAGCAUGGGUAGCGAACAGGAUUAGAUACCCUGGUAGUCCAUGCUGUAAACGAUGAGUGCUAAGUGUUGGGAGGUUUCCGCCUCUCAGUGCUGCAGCUAACGCAUUAAGCACUCCGCCUGGGGAGUACGACCGCAAGGUCAAAACUCAAAGGAAUUGACGGGGGCCCGCACAAGCGGUGGAGCAUGGUGGUUUAAUUCGAAGCAACGCGAAGAACCUUACCAGGUCUUGACAUCUAGUGCCAACCUAAGAGAUUAGGCGUUCCCUUCGGGGACACUAAGAACAGGUGGUGCAUGGCUGUCGUCAGCUCGUGUCGUGAGAUGUUGGGUUAAGUCCCGCAACGAGCGCAACCUUAUUAUUAGUUGCAGCAUUAAGUUGGGCACUCUAAUGAGAACUGCCGGUGACAAACCGGAGAGAAAGGGUUGGGGAUGAGUCAAGUCACUGCCCCUUAUGACCUGGGCUACACACGUGCUACAAUGGGCAGUACAACGAGGAGCGAACUUGUGAAGGCAAGCGAAUCUCUGAAAGCUGUUCUCAGUUCGGACUGUAGGCUGCAACUCGCCUACACGAAGCUGGAAUCGCUAGUAAUCGCGGAUCAGCACGCCGCGGUGAAU
rnacentral:rRNA from 1 species